AGGAUCCAAAAUGAGAUGGGGCUGGUGAUGAUUUGUUUAGAGAGCUAUGGAGGCUGUGUGCAGGGCCAUUAAUGGAUGUUCCUUGUGUUCAAGACAGAGUUUUCUAUUUCCCUCAAGGUCAUAUUGAAUUGUUUCCAGAACCUACAGAACAAGAUUUGAGGCAGAUGAAGAACCAGAAAUCUCCCAAAUACGAUCUUCCAUCGAAGAUCUUAUGUCGUGUUAUCGAUGUUAAGUGUCUGGUAAUGUUUAUCUUUUUUUGGUUCCUUAUGUUGUGUUAUGUGUUCUUGAUUGGUAAUGUUUAUCUAAUAAUUCUCAGUCCUGAUUUUUGUGAAUCUACUUCAAGUUUCAAAUGACACUUUCAA